UACGUAGGGGGCAAGCGUUGUCCGGAUUUAUUGGGCGUAAAGAGCGUGUAGGCGGCCAGGUAGGUGGGUUGUGAAAACUGGAGGCUCAACCUUCAGACGUCGACCCAAACCCCCUGGCUAGAGUCCGGAAGAGGAGAGUGGAAUUCCUGGUGUAGCGGUGAAAUGCGCAGAUAUCAGGAAGAACACCCGUGGCGAAGCGGCUCUCUGG
rnacentral:rRNA from 1 species